AGGAGAAAACUAAAGGUUUAGUAACUGAAUUCAUAUUCCAGUGUUAUCGGUUCGAGUCCGAUUUCUCUCA